rnacentral:rRNA from 1 species
GUGCCAGCAGCCGCGGUAAUACGGAGGGGGCUAGCGUUGUUCGGAAUUACUGGGCGUAAAGCGCACGUAGGCGGAUCAGAAAGUUGGGGGUGAAAUCCCGGGGCUCAACCUCGGAACUGCCUUCAAAACUAUUGGUCUUGAGUUCGAGAGAGGUGAGUGGAAUUCCGAGUGUAGAGGUGAAAUUCGUAGAUAUUCCGGAGGAACACCCAGUGGCGAAGGCGGCUCACUGGCUCGAUACUGACGCUGAGGUGCGAAAGCGUGGGGAGCAAACAGGAUUAGAUA